rnacentral:rRNA from 1 species
GGAAUCUUGCACAAUGGAGGAAACUCUGAUGCAGCGAUGCCGCGUGAGUGAAGAAGGCCUUUGGGUUGUAAAGCUCUUUUGUAGGGGAAGAUAAUGACUGUACCCUAAGAAUAAGGUCCGGCUGACUUCGUGCCAGCAGCCGCGGUAAUACGAAGGGACCUAGCGUAGUUCGGAAUUACUGGGCGUAAAGCGCGCGUAGGCCGUUGAGUUAGUUAAUUGUGAAAUCCCAAAGCUUAACUUUGGAACUGCAAUUAAAACUGCUCGACUAGAGUUUGAUAGAGGAAAGCGGAAUACAUAGUGUAGAGGUGAAAUUCGUAGAUAUUAUGUAGAACACCAGUUGCGAAGGCGGCUUUCUGGAUCAACACUGACGCUGAGGCGCGAAAGUAUGGGUAGCAAAGAGGAUUAGAUACCCUCGUAGUCCAUACCAUAAACGAUGAUUGCUAGAUGUUGGAAAUUUAUUUUCAGUAUCGCAGCUAACGCAUUAAGCAAUCCGCCUGGGGAGUACGACCGCAAGGUUAAAACUCAAAUGAAUUGACGG